rnacentral:rRNA from 1 species
GGCGCGAAAGCGUGGGGAGCGAACAGGAUUAGAUACCCUGGUAGUCCACGCCGUAAACGAUGAGUGCUAGGUGUUAGGGGGUUUCCGCCCCUUAGUGCAGAAGUUAACGCAUUAAGCACUCCGCGUGGGGAGUACGGCCGCAAGGCUGAAACUCAAAAGAAUUGACGGGGGCCCGCACAAGCGGUGGAGCAUGUGGUUUAAUUCGACGCAACGCGAAGAACCUUACCAGGUCUUGACAUCCUCUGCAAUCGGUAGAGAUACCGAGUUCCCUUCGGGGACAGAGUGACAGGUGGUGCAUGGUUGUCGUCAGCUCGUGUCGUGAGAUGUUGGGUUAAGUCCCGCAACGAGCGCAACCCUUGAUCUUAGUUGCCAGCAUUUAGUUGGGCACUCUAAGGUGACUGCCGGUGACAAACCGGAGGAAGGUGGGGAUGACGUCAAAUCAUCAUGCCCCUUAUGACCUGGGCUACACACGUGCUACAAUGGAUGGAACAAAGGGAAGCAAAACCGCGAGGUCAAGCAAAUCCCAUAAAACCAUUCUCAGUUCGGAUUGCAGGCUGCAACUCGCCUGCAUGAAGCCGGAAUCGCUAGUAAUCGCGGAUCAGCAUGCCGCGGUGAAUACGUUCCCGGGCCUUGUACACACCGCCCGUCACACCACGAGAGUUGGUAACACCCGAAGUCGGUGAGGUAACCUUUGGAGCCAGCCGCCGAAG